AUGUGUCCAACAAGAGGAGCUUUGGUUGUUGCAACUAGUGUUGGAUUGGUGGAAACAUUGAAGGAUCAAGGUUAUUGCAAAAUCAACAACAAUAUCAUGAGAUCAGUAGCACAAAAUGCCAAAAAUCAAAUGAGAACCUUGGCUCAUUCCAAUAAGUUGUCUCCUACUUUUUCUCCUUCUUCAGAAAUUCCAAAAAAUCUUAUUGAUGAAAAGAAGAGGAAAGCAGAAGAGUCUUUGAGAACCGUUAUGUUUUUGAGCACAUGGGGUCCAAAUUCUUAG